rnacentral:rRNA from 1 species
UAAGGACAAGGGGUUUCAAGCCCAAAAGGGGGAGGUUUCCGUAAACCUUACCACAUUUAUGAUUGAGGGCUGAAACUCGCCCUCAUGAAUAUGGAUUCCCUAGUAACCGCGUGUCAUCAUCGCGCGGUGAAUACUUCCCUGCUCCUUGCACAA